UUUAGUAAAAUUCGACCGGGAUAUUCUAGUGUGAAGUAAUGACAUGGAUACAUUAUUCUUGUAAAAGCUAACUUAACUGAUUGGUCAGCCGCGAUGAUAAGAAUAUUUUGACGGAGAGGACAUCCAAAUUUUGGGAUAAAAAAAUCCGGAGAGUUGUAAUUGUUCGAAAGACACGAGAUUUUUUAAAAAAUAAAUCUUACAAUUUAU
rnacentral:misc_RNA from 1 species